UACAGAGGGUGCAAGCGUUGUUCGGAAUUAUUGGGCGUAAAGCGCGUGUAGGCGGCUUUGCAAGUCGGGUGUGAAAGCCCUCAGCUUAACUGAGGAAGUGCGCCCGAAACUGCAGAGCUUGAGUACCGGAGAGGAUGGCGGAAUUCCCCAAGUAGAGGUGAAAUUCGUAGAUAUGGGGAGGAACACCGGUGGCGAAGGCGGCCAUCUGGACCGGUUCUGACGCUGAGGCGCGAAAGCGUGGGUAGCAAACAGG
rnacentral:rRNA from 1 species